UCCGGUUGAUCCUGCCGGACCCCACUGCUAUCGGGAUAGGACUAAGACAUGCUAGUCGAGUGAUUCAGGCAAAACGAGUCACGGCACACAGCUCAGUAACACGUGGCUAAUCUGCCCUUAGGACGAGAACAACCCCGGGAAACUGGGGCUAACUCUCGAUAGGCGAAGAACUCUGGAAUGAGUCUUUACCUAAAUAGUGCAACGUUAUCCUCGUUGCAUCGCCUAAGGAUGAGGCCGCGACCGAUCAGGUUGUUGGCGAGGUAAUGGCUCACCAAGCCUUUUACCGGUGCGGGCCGUGAGAGCGGGAGCCCGGAGAUGGGCACUGAGACAAGGGCCCAGGCCCUACGGGGCGCAGCAGUCGCGAAAACUUUGCAAUAAGCGAAAGCUUGACAGGGCUAUCCCGAGUGCCAUCCGCUGAGGAAGGCUUUUACCCAGUCUAGAACGCUGGGGGAAUAAGGAGAGGGCAAGUCUGGUGUCAGCCGCCGCGGUAAUACCAGCUCUCCGAGUGGUGUGGAUGUUUAUUGGGCCUAAAGCAUCCGUAGCUGGCUAGGUCAGUCCCUUGUUAAAUCCACCGAAUUAAUCGUUGGAUUGCGGGGGAUACUGCUUGGCUAGGGGACGAGAGAGGCAGACGGUAUUUUCGGGGUAGGGGUGAAAUCCUAUAAUCCCGGGAAGACCACCAGUGGCGAAGGCUGUCUGCUAGAACGCGCCCGACGGUGAGGGAUGAAAGCUGGGGGAGCGAACCGGAUUAGAUACCCGGGUAGUCCCAGCUGUAAACGAUGCAGACUAGGUGUUUGGACGGCCACGUGCCGUUCUAGUGCCGCAGGGAAGCUGUUAAGUCUGCCGCCUGGGGAGUACGAUCGCAAGAUUGAAACUUAAAGGAAU
rnacentral:rRNA from 1 species